rnacentral:tRNA from 1 species
GCGGGGGUAGCAAAGCCUGGAAAAUGCGCAGGACUUAAGAUCCUGUCCCUUAGUGGGUCCGUGGGUUCAAAAUUGAAGCUACGCUUCAAUCCUCAGCAAAGCGGAGCUUUGAUGAAUGUCCCACCCCCCGCA